rnacentral:rRNA from 1 species
GACGUAGGGGGCCAGCGUUGCUCGGAAUUACUGGGUGUAAAGGGUUCGUAGGCGGUGUGGCAAGUCGGGAGUGAAAUCGUCUGGGCUCAACCCAGAGUCUGCUUCCGAAACUGCUGUGCUUGAGUGUGGGAGAGGCGCGUGGAAUUGCAGGUGUAGCGGUGAAAUGCGUAGAUAUCUGCAGGAACACCCGUGGCGAAAGCGGCGCGCUGGACCACUACUGACGCUGAGGAACGAAAGCUAGGGGAGCAAACAGG